CAUUAUUAACUUAGCCUUUAACAAAAGUAGUGUCAUUCAAAGCAGCCUCACUGCUGUUAUAAAUUAUGAUCCAUUUUUCAAGGUUUCUACAGGCCACCAGAAGAAUACCUGUGGAAACUGUAUUCUUGUCAACUACUGUCUUCUCCUGGGAAGAUCUGUCUAAUCUGAACCACUUCUUGAUAUUCUUCCUAUGUUAAGGGUGAGAUGAGGCGUUCAGCAAAGCCAGGGAUCACUAAUGAGUUAUCAGGAGAAUAGAAGAAUAAGGAGAAGGUGGAUACAAGCUGAAGAUUCCAACGCACUAACCAAACCACAACUUGGGCUGGGCUCGAAUUCCCUUGUACUCAGAAGUAUCAUUCAAUUUAUGGAAAUAAUGUGGAGAAACAGCAGUGCCCCUGGGACUUUUCUCCAUAACACUGUCCAGCCAUUCUCUGCCACUGAAUCUCUGCUUUUACUAAAUUCAGAAAGAGUUUGGCUUGCACUUUUCUACCAAACUACCUAAGUGCCUCUCUAAGAUCAGCCCUUGAAUUGUUAGAAGGGUGAUCUUGGGGCACUGAAAAUGAGAAGGGACGCAUCGGGGGACUAGUUAAGUGCAGAAGGCAAGGACAAAUCGGACAUAAAACAAAACAUUGCAAAAACCAAGAAUCAGCAUGUGUGGGUCUUGUUGGAAAUACCAGGAACACAGCCCGCAUGGUCAUGCUGACUGUUUGCUCUUCAAAGCGUGGAUGAGAGAUAUACAAGUUAUAAGAAGAAUAAAAAAUGAUUGUUGGUGUCA
rnacentral:lncRNA from 1 species